AAAAAGGCUAUGAUUAGGAGAGUAACUGAUAUAAAUAUUUCAGAGAGUAGAGGAAGAGGUGGGAACUCUACAUAGGAUUAUCAGUGAAAAUCACCUAGGAGCUAAAAAAUCGAAAAUAAGAAUUCUUUAUUUAGUAGAUUUUUUCAUCUUGCACGUGUUAAGUGCAUUUGAGAGGUUCUGGUUAUAUGCCAUGAACAACUAGGGUGGUACCGCGGAAUUAUUCGUCCCUGCA
rnacentral:ncRNA from 1 species